rnacentral:tRNA from 1 species
CGGGGCGUGGCUCAGUCUGGUUUAGAGCGCUGCGUUCGGGACGCAGAGGUCGGCGGUUCGAAUCCGCCCGCCCCGACCA